GAUGAACGCUGGCGGCGUGCCUAAUACAUGCAAGUCGAGCGAACAGAUGAGGAGCUUGCUCCUCUGACGUUAGCGGCGGACGGGUGAGUAACACGUGGAUAACCUACCUAUAAGACUGGGAUAACUACGGGAAACCGGAGCUAAUACCGGAUAAUAUAUUGAACCGCAUGGUUCAAUAGUGAAAGACGGUUUUGCUGUCACUUAUAGAUGGAUCCGCGCCGCAUUAGCUAGUUGGUAAGGUAACGGCUUACCAAGGCAACGAUGCGUAGCCGACCUGAGAGGGUGAUUGGCCACACUGGAACUGAGACACGGUCCAGACUCCUACGGGAGGCAGCAGUAGGGAAUCUUCCGCAAAGGGCGAAAGCCUGACGGAGCAACGCCGCGUGAGUGAUGAAGGUCUUCGGAUCGUAAAACUCUGUUAUUAGGGAAGAACAAAUGUGUAAGUAACUAUGCACGUCUUGACGGUACCUAAUCAGAAAGCCACGGCUAACUACGUG
rnacentral:rRNA from 1 species